rfam:Eimeria mitis, Houghton, WGS project CBTT01000000 data, contig: Emh_contig11254_2
GCCUCCUUAGCACAGUUGGUAGUGCGUUUGAUUCGUAAUCAAAAGGUCGUGGGUUCGAUUCCCACAGGGGGCU